UUCCCUGUUUACCCAACGUGGGCUUUGUGAUUGGCUGACUGUGAUGAUGGAGGUGGAGAGUAGGCUGCUGAUGGAGUUACAGCAUCCCUUAGCCUCAGGUCCCUGAGAGGGCGAGGGAACAGGAAGGGGGAGGGAAUAGGAGCCAUUUCUCUGCGCUGACCGACCUCCACGCUUGCAGCUCUCAUUUCCCCGGAAUCCAGGCGACUCCCCUGCUUAGUAUUUCACCAUGCUGGAUAUUUUCAUCCUCAUGUUCUUUGCCAUCAUAGGCCUGGUGGUUCUGUCCUACAUUAUCUAUCUGCUCUAGCGGCCUGGAGCUGCAGGGGCUGCGAGGGGAAGAAGGAUGGAGCUGAAGCACCAAGCAUCCUCCUUGCUGACGCACCGGUGGAUUUUUGCUUCUGGUCAUUAUUCGGCUCCGGUGUUCCGUCCAGAAGGAGGGCUCUGCCCAAUAGCAGGAGUCCUGAGGUCCAACUGACUUCUUCCAAUGUGUCGGGAUGUGGCUAACCCUUGGCAAGCAGGGACUCUGUGAGGACAUCAGGAGUUCAAGGAUACCACUGGCAGCUGCUGCAUGUGUUUAAGUUGUAGACAGGCUGUAUUGGAAAUGUGGAAGGUUGAAUUGUAGAAACCGCAAAGUCACAGCGGAGAACUGCCAAGGUAUUCAUAUGGGCAGCCUUUUCUUAGGUUUACAUGCAACUGUAGACAAUGCCAAACUUUUCUUUCCUUUCUGUUUCACAAGCAGGCGUUCCCUUGUAAACUCAGGGGCGAAUUCUGUCUGUCUGUGUCUGUCUUAUCAGUGUCUUUAUUGUGCAGUCUGAGGUUAUGUGGUUUCCCUUGAUUGCUGGCCUCCCCACCCCCCAAAAACCUGUCAUUUGCAUUUUUUAAGAUUUCCCAUUUCUUUCCUCCUCGUCCCAUUUGUCCCCAGCUUCUAUCUGAUGAGAUACAUGGCUGUGAAGUCCUUAUUCUUUGUGACUACCUAUAAAGCAUUGAAACAAAAUGUCUAUAUUAAUUUAGCAAAAUAAACUUUACCCCUAAGGGAGGGGCUUUAAAACUUU